UGAUAAAUUGGAAUCAUCCAUAAAACCUUGAGCUGUCAUCUCAUUAGACCUCAGAAGCUAAGCAUUGUCCAACCUGAUUACUACUUCAGUGGGAGACCUGCAGGAAGAUGCUGGUGAUUUAAUAG
ensembl:rRNA 5S_rRNA 5S ribosomal RNA